UCCACAGAUGAUGUGCUCCACUAUAUCCCGAUUGACAUUUACAUUAUAUAACAAUAACUAAUGUUAUGUAUUUCAGCAGAAACAUUUGUCAAAAUCUUAUUAUAUCCGCAACAUGUUUAUCAUGCAUGUAUUUAUAUCAACAAUUUGUCCUUGUACUUCAUAGUUCAAUAGUUAAAUGUUGGUGAUUAAUUUACACCAUAAAGUAUAAAUUAAUCAAAUUGACAAGGAAGGUUGUGUAACGUAGCAUAUGCAUAUUGUUUAUUCUUAUAACAUAAAUAUUAUGUUAUACAAUGGUAAUUAAUGAUACAUCUUAUAUUAUAAUAAUAAGGGUUCUAUAAAGAAAAUAUUUGAAUGUUAGGAACAAUAAUAACAUAAAUGAAGUUUGGAAAUUUAAUAGCAAAAUCUUUAUGAUAUAUUGGCCAUGAUUAUAUGGUUUGAUUCUCUUGCAAGUAGAAACAUGACAUACCUUACAUUCACUGUACUAAAUCAACAGGGUGAAAGAUCAAAGAUAGUUUUAUCUAGAGUCUGUAUGUUUAACAGGGCAUUUAUUUGAUGGAGUAGUCAAAGUUGUUGACAAAUGGGAUUUAGGAUGGUACUUUGUUUGCAUCAAAGUAUUCGUACAUUAAGACUUUAUAUCACUAUGUUGAUAAGCGUGUCAAUACUUGAAUAUUAGUCUCUCAGUACAGUACAUUAAAUAGUCGAAUCAGAUGUUAAAGAGGAGUCCACCUUUAGCCAGCGAAGAGACAGGUCACGCUUUCGUGUCGCCGCCUGCGAUGUUAGAUUGUAUUUCACGAACAUUAGCAAGCGUUGUAUUAGAAAAUAUUCAACAGAAAUAAAUCGAGAUGGAAGCUCUUAUGAACUGGUGUGUUUGUUUCUGUGCGUUCCCAACGAACAAUAUUAUUAAUUACGUCACACAGAACUUUUAUGGUCGCCGAUGCCAGGAUACGAACCGAGAAGUUAAAGAAAAAACCACUAAACGGAGUAUGAAUUAUCACGGGAGAAAAGAACACAAUGCGCGACAUAGAAAACGAAGCAGAUGUUCUGGAUUGGAUGAGGCUGAUUCCACGUGCUUAAACAUUGGAUGUUACAUGGAAAACUUAUAAUAAUGACGUAUUCUUUGUGGUCAUUUGUGUACUGUGUCGAUGCCAGCGUUCAAACGCGGCCUCUGUGACAACGGAACGUGCGAGCUUCGACGUCAGCUCCUCUUCGAGUCACGUAACAAGUCAGAAAACAGAAUGGUCAACCGUAACAACGGUCCCAAACCAGGACGGUCAAAGUAUAACCGUAACUACCGCGCACCUAUCUGGUGUAUUCCUGGCUAUAGCGAGACUCCAGAAGAAAGUUGAAGAACAAUUUAAAAAACAGACAAGCGGCUCUAACGUUACAAUGAAGAACAUUUACACGCUGGCUGUGCAACUUCAACGGCCUGUAUUGACGUCUGAAUCAACGGAACACGCACGACAAUGUAAAGCUCAGACGUUGUUGACGGCUAUUCGCAAGAUGUACGGUGAAUUUGAACCAUGGUGUCUCGAGAUGGCGUCCUUCAUACAAGAAGAAGUGGUUACAAAUUACCUUUUUCAGACAAUGGAUACGCUGGAUUACUUAGUGGCUGAAUCAAGCUUCCAGCAAAGCCCAGUUACGACUGAAAACACGUACGACGUCCUGAAAACUUUGGCGUCCUUGAAUGUACAAAGUUAUCGUGCAAGAAACGUUAUUGAAAUGUUAUGGAAAACGUGCUUCUAAAUUAUUUUUAGCAAAUGGGAGUAACACUUUAAUAACAAGUGUGAACAAAUACAACGAAUGGUUGUUCUUGUUAACUCAUUUUGAUCUGAUGUAUUUCCAUUUUUAUUUUAUUUAUUUAUUUAUUUGUAUAUACAUUUUCAUUUUUUGAUUUGUUGUGUUGUUCAUUACAUGUAUAUGCGUAUUAAAAUAAUGCUCCAUAUGUUUCAAAUUCAUCACAAAAAAUGACUUAUGUUAUUUUUAUAUUAUGAUCAUCUGUUCAUAUUUUGUACGUGGAGUAUGUUUAACUCGUCUUUGAACAAAUUGUAUUUGUAAAGAUAAAAUGUAGACAUUGAUGUGUAAGAUUUACAUUUUAUUAACACGGAAUGAGUUAUAUGACAGUUAACGUUAUUUAUUAAAGUUAACAUUCCUUUAAUUUUACUGGUGAUAUGCUCGUUAUCAUUCAUUUGCUAAGAUUAACUUGCAACUGUUAAUUACAAUGCCAGAAACAAUACUCGAAUGCAAUCGAUUUAUUAAGUUGUUUGUUUUUGUUUGGUUAUGUUCUUAUUACAAUACAUGUUUAAUACUCAGUGGAUUUGUAAAGAUUACAUUCUAUUCAGUACACAUACAUACAACAUGUCUAUGUUAUCAAUGUGUGAACAUUCAUUAUUCAUCACAAUUAUUGGUAUUAGCUUAUAGUUUAGUGUUAAUAAACUGAAAGUUAUUUGCAUAUGGCAGAUCAACAAAUAGUGUAUUAUACCAUUAUUGAUGUAGCCGACAGUAUACCGCCAUGUGUUCUUCAUCAAUAUUCAUAGAGACUCUUGUUUCAUCGAAACAUAAAAUUAUACAUGUUACUAGAUGAUAUAUGUUUAUGAGAAUUGAAUUGUGCACUGUGUUCUUUGUUUGGUUACUCAUACAGUAAUUACAAAUAUUUAUAAUCACCUCUACCUAAUUAUACUUGUUUUAAUUGUUUACUAAAUGUAUUGUUUUCCAAACUACAAACUUUAUUGCGUUUUCAUUAUACACAUGCAAGGUGUAUUCUCGAUAAUAACAAUUUCACUGAUUAAUUUGCAAGAUCGUUUUUAUAGUAAAAAUGUUUAUAAAGUUGCAGAGUUUCGAAUCAGAUUGAUUUUACGAUAGAAAGGCUACAUGGAAUAUACAUUACUAAUAGUGUGACUGUUUAUUUAAUAAAUUCGUAUGUAAAUUGUUUUACAAUUCUUGUACUCUCAAUAUUUACCGGUGAUUCAAACGUGUCGUUGAGAUUAUUGCAUGAUAUUCAAAAUAUUUAUUUACAAAUCUAGCAUGUCUGUGAAAUGCACUUAUAUAUUUAUUAAUUGCUCAU